CCUACGGGAGGCAGCAGUGGGGAAUAUUGGACAAUGGGCGAAAGCCUGAUCCAGCAAUUCCGCGUGUGUGAAGAAGGCCUUCGGGUUGUAAAGCACUUUAGGUUGGGAAGAAAAAGCUUCGGUGAAUAUCCGGAGUGUUGACGGUACCAACAGAAUAAGCACCGGCUAACUCUGUGCCAGCAGCCGCGGUAAUACAGAGGGUGCAAGCGUUAAUCGGAUUUACUGGGCGUAAAGCGUGCGCAGGUGGUUUCGUAAGUCGGAUGUGAAAGCCCCGGGCUCAACCUGGGAACUGCGUUCGAUACUGCGAGACUAGAGUUUGGUAGAGGGUGGCGGAAUUCCCGGUGUAGCGGUGAAAUGCGUAGAUAUCGGGAGGAACAUCAAUGGCGAAGGCAGCCACCUGGGCCUGAACUGACACUGAGGCACGAAAGCGUGGGUAGCAAACAGGAUUAGAUGCCCUGGUAGUCCACGCCGUAAACGAUGAGAACUUGACGUUGGUUCGUUUUACGAAUCGGUGUCGUAGCUAACGCGAUAAGUUCUCCGCCUGGGGAAGUCGGCCGCAAGGUUGAAACUCAAANAGAGUAGAGNGNGAGAGNGCGACGACGACGACGAGGAGAGG
rnacentral:rRNA from 1 species